AUUGAACGCUGGCGGCAUGCCUUACACAUGCAAGUCGAACGGCAGCACGGGGCAACCUGGUGGCGAGUGGCGAACGGGUGAGUAAUGCAUCGGAACGUACCUUUCAGAGGGGGAUAACGUAGCGAAAGUCACGCUAAUACAGCAUAUUCUGUGAGCAGGAAAGCAGGGGAUCGCAAGACCUUGCGCUGAAUGAGCGGCCGAUGUCAGAUUAGCUAGUUGGUGAGGUAAAGGCUCACCAAGGCGACGAUCUGUAGCGGGUCUGAGAGGAUGAUCCGCCACACUGGAGCUGAGACACGGUCCAGACUCCUACGGGAGGCAGCAGUGGGGAAUUUUGGACAAUGGGGGCAACCCUGAUCCAGCCAUGCCGCGUGAGUGAAGAAGGCCUUCGGGUUGUAAAGCUCUUUCGGCCGGGAAGAAAUCGCACGGGCUAAUACCCUGUGUGGAUGACGGUACCGGAAUAAGAAGCACCGGCUAACUACGUGCCAGCCGCCGCCGUAAAAC
rnacentral:rRNA from 1 species